ensembl:lncRNA
ACUAUUUUCUACAUUGUAGAAUAAUAGUGAAGACAUCAAAACUAUGAAAUAACACAUAUGGAAUCAUGUAGUAACAAAAAAAGUAAAACAAAUCUAAAUAUAUUAUAUAUUUGAUAUUCUUCAAAAUAGCCACCCUUUGCCUUGAUGACAGCUUAACACACUCUUGGCAUUCUCUCAAUCAGCUUCACAUAGAAUGCUUUUCCAACACUCUGCAGUCCAACUCAUCCCAAAACAUCUCAAUUGCGUUGAGGUCGGGUGAUUUUCGAGGCCAGGUCAUCUGAUGCAACUCCAUCACUCUCCUUGGCCAAAUAGCCCUUAAAUAGCCUGGAGAUGUGUUGGGUCAUCGUCUUGUUGAAAAACAAAUGAUAUGCCAACUAAGCGCGAACCAGAUGGGAUGGCGUUUUGCUGCAGAAUGCUGUGGAAUCCAUGCUGGUUAAGUGGGCCUUGAAUUCUAAAUAAAUCACAAACAGUGUCACAGGCAAAGCACACCCACACCAUCACACCUCCUCCUCCAUGUUUCACAGUGGGACCCACACAUGCAGAGAUCAUCUGUUCACCUACUCUGAGUCUCACAGACACAAAUAUUGGAACCAAAAAAAUGUCCACUGGUCUAACGUCCAUUGCUUGUGUUUAUUGGUGUCCUUUAGUAGAGGUUUCUUUGCAGCAAUUUGACCACGACGGCCUGAUUCACUCAAUCUCUUCUGAACAGUUGAUGUUGAGAUGCGUCUGUUACUUGAACGAUGUGAAACAUUUAUUUGGGCUGCAAUUUCUGAGGCUGGUAACUCUAAUGAACCUAUCCUCUGCAGCAGAGGUAACUCUGGGUCUUCCUUUCCUGUGGCGGUCCUCAUGAGAGCCAGUUUCAUCAUAGCGCUUGAUGGUUUUUGUAACUGCACUUGAAGAAACUUUAAUUGACUGACCUUCGUAUCUUAAAGUAAUGAUGGACUGUCAUUUCUCUUUGCUUAUUUGAGCUGUUCUUGUCAUAAUAUGGACUUGGUCUUUUACCAAAUAGGGCUAUCUUCUGUAUACCACCCUUAACAUGUCAGAACACAACUAAUUGGCUCCAACACAUUAAGAAGGAAAUAAAUUCCACAAUUGAAUUGAAAUGCAUUCCAGGUGACUACCUCAUGAAGCUGAUUGAAAGAAUGCCAAGAGUGUGCAAAGCUGUCAUCAAGGCAAAGGAUGGCUACUUUAAAGAAUCUCUAUGUUUUGAUUUUGGUACAACAUUAUUCCAUAUGUGUUGUUUCAUAGUUUUGAUGUCUUCACUAUUAUUAUAAAAUGUAGAAAAAAGUAAAAAAUAAAGAAAAACCCUGGAAUGAGUAGGUGUGUCCAAUCUUUGAAUGGUAAUGUGUAGCUAAGGACUAUUGUCGUUUUAGAAUCCGUAUCAUCACAUUUGACAUGCGGACGAAAAUUAGCUAGCUAGCUUGACUGCUAGCUAAGCCAGUCUCCAAUCAAUCCAUAUGAAUUUGUAUUUAUUAAAUUGUUUAAAUGUAAACUUUAUUUACCUAGGCAAGUCAGUUAAGAACAAAUUCUUAUUUACAAUGACGGCCUACCCUAGCCAAACCCUAAAGACGCUGAGCCAAUUGUCCAUCGCCCUAUGGGUAGAGUAGAAGUAGAAGUCCAAUGCCAGUGGCUCAGUCUGAUGCUUUGCCAUAGUCCCUAGCCAGUGGGUCAGUCUGAUGGUUUACUGUAGUAGUCCCUAGCCAGUGGGUCAGUCUGAUGGUUUGCCAUAGUCCCUAGCCAGUGGGUCAGUCUGAUGGUUUAAAGUAGAAGUCCCUAGCCAGUGGGUCAGUCUGAUGGUUUACAGUAGUAGUCCCUAGCCAGUGGGUCAGUCUGAUGGUUUGAAGUAGAAGUCCCUAGCCAGUGGGUCAGUCUGAUGGUUUACCAUAGUAGUCCCUAGCCAGUGGGUCAGUCUUAUGGUUUACUGUAGUAGUCCCUAGCCAGUGGGUCAGUCUGAUGAUUUAAAGUAGAAGUCCCUAGCCAGUGGGUCAGUCUGAUGGUUUAACGUAGAAGUCCCUAGCCAGUGGGUCAGUCUGAUGGUUUGCCAUAGUCCCUAGGCAGUGGGUCAGUCUCUUGGUUUACAGUAGUAGUCCCUAGCCAGUGGGUCAAUCUGAUGGUUUACCAUAGUCCCUAGCCAGUGGGUCAGUCUGAUGGUUUACUGCAGUAGUCCCUAGCCAGUGGGUCAGUCUGAUGGUUUACCAUAGUCCCUAGCCAGUGGGUCAGUCUGAUGGUUUGCCAUAGUCCCUAGCCAGUGGGUCAGUCUGAUGGUUUGCCAAAGUAGACCCAAGCCAGUGGGUCAGUCUGAUGGUUUACUUUAGUAGUUCCUAGCCAGUGGUUCAGUCUCUUGGUUUACUGUAGUAGUCCCUAGCCAGUGGGUCAGUCUCUUGGUUUACCGUAGUCGUCCCUAGCCAGUGGGUCAGUCUCUUGGUUUACUGUAAUAGUCUCUAGCCAGUGGGUCAGUCCCUUGGUUUACUGGUGUAGUCCC